GUGGUGACUAUGUCGACCCUUACACAGUUUUCCAGAAUGUUGGACUGAAGAUGGCAACAAACUUGUUUGUUCAAAUGCCUUCAUGUGUGAAGUUCAAAGGAAGAGAAUAUUACCAAGGCUGCUUUGGUUUUGGGUUACCCCUUGUGUCUAAAGAACUUGCUCCUGCACUGGCAGCUCCUGUGCCAAAUAAUACUCCGGCUCCAUCAGUAGGGACAAUU